AGAAGUGUGCCCGAGAUUAGGGGUUAUUUUGAUGAAAUAAAUACAGAGCAAUUAGCCCUCACUUCCA
rnacentral:tRNA from 1 species